UGCAAGUCGAACGCUUCUUUUUCCACCGGAGCUUGCUCCACCGGAAAAAGAGGAGUGGCGAACGGGUGAGUAACACGUGGGUAACCUGCCCAUCAGAAGGGGAUAACACUUGGAAACAGGUGCUAAUACCGUAUAACAAUCGAAACCGCAUGGUUUUGAUUUGAAAGGCGCUUUCGGGUGUCGCUGAUGGAUGGACCCGCGGUGCAUUAGCUAGUUGGUGAGGUAACGGCUCACCAAGGCGACGAUGCAUAGCCGACCUGAGAGGGUGAUCGGCCACAUUGGGACUGAGACACGGCCCAAACUCCUACGGGAGGCAGCAGUAGGGAAUCUUCGGCAAUGGACGAAAGUCUGACCGAGCAACGCCGCGUGAGUGAAGAAGGUUUUCGGAUCGUAAAACUCUGUUGUUAGAGAAGAACAAGGAUGAGAGUAACUGUUCAUCCCUUGACGGUAUCUAACCAGAAAGCCACGGCUAACUACGUGCCAGCA
rnacentral:rRNA from 1 species